rnacentral:rRNA from 1 species
UACAGAGGUCUCAAGCGUUGUUCGGAUUCAUUGGGCGUAAAGGGUUCGUAGGCGGUGCGGCAAGUCGGAAGUGAAAUCUCCAGGCUCAACUUGGAGGCUGCUCCCGAAACUGCCGCGCUAGAGUGCGGGAGAGGCCAGUGGAAUUGCAGGUGUAGCGGUGAAAUGCGUAGAUAUCUGCAGGAACACCCGUGGCGAAGGCGGCUGGCUGGACCGCAACUGACGCUGAGGAACGAAAGCUAGGGGAGCAAACAGG